rnacentral:lncRNA from 1 species
GGAAAUACGCCAUAUAGUCAUCUUCUCCACAAAAUUAGGGGUACGCACAUAUACACAAUAGAAUACAGAGGAGAUAAAAAAGGGGAGCACCACCAUCAUCAUCAUCUUCUAUUUCUUUUAGGGAGGGACACACUACAAAUUGAAAGGCAGAUGCUAUUUUUGGGGCUAAGAUAUGGAUCUGAAAAAAAAAAUCCCUAAAAGGUUUUUCUUCUUCUUCAUCAUAAUACAUAGUAAAUCGCACACACACACACAAAUGGAGUAGAUCAAGAGUGGGAUCAAAAAUACAAAGAGAAUGAGAGGAAAGAGAGUAAAAUUGAGAGAGAGAUAAAGGUAAGAAUCAAAAAAUUAAGGUAGACGUCGCGUCUGGUUACUGUUACGGUGACACAGUCAUUGGAAAACAUCAAAGAGUAUUGAAAUCUAUUGGAACUAGUUGAUUGAUUCAUUCUCAGGCUAAUUCCAGCAAGAUCCCAUCGGAAUUACACUCGGUUUCUCAGUUUUUUAUACUUUGCAAUUUCUAUUCCGUUCGUUCAGGUGUAUUCUUGGACUUCUAUUUUGAUAUCGUUCUUUG